AAAAUCUCAGUUAUUGAAGAUUCACAAAUUGUAUUAUCUCCUCAUCCAAUCCCCAGUUCCAGUGAGGUGUUUACUUUGUAUGAUGAGCAAAUCUCCAAUAUUGAAGAUUCACAAAUUGUAUUAUCUUCUCAUCCAAUCCCCAGUUCCAGUGAGGCGCUUACUUUGCAUGAUGAGCAAAUCUCCAAUAUUGAAGAUUCACAAAUUGUAUUAUCUCCUCAUCCAAUCCCCGGUUCUAGUGAGGCACUUACUUUGCAUGAGGCAUUAUAUUUAAAUAAAAUUUAUAUAAUGACUUUUGAAGGGAAUAAAUUAUGAGGAUAUUCAAAGUCCAAGUCUUAU